GAUGAACGCUAGCUACAGGCUUAACACAUGCAAGUCGAGGGGAAACGAUAUUGGAAGCUUGCUUCCGAUAGGCGUCGACCGGCGCACGGGUGAGUAACGCGUAUCCAACCUGCCCAUCACUUGGGGAUAACCUUGCGAAAGUAAGACUAAUACCCAAUGACGUCUCUAGAAGACAUCUGAAGGAGAUUAAAGAUUUAUCGGUGAUGGAUGGGGAUGCGUCUGAUUAGCUUGUUGGCGGGGUAACGGCCCACCAAGGCGACGAUCAGUAGGGUUCUGAGAGGAUGAACGGCCACAUUGGGACUGAGACACGGCCCAGACUCCUACGGAGGCAGCAGUGGGGGAUAUUGCACAAUGGGGGAAACCCUGAUGCAGCGACGCCGCGUGGAGGAAGGAAGGUUUUUCGGAUUGUAAACUCCUGUCGUUAGGGACGAAUAAUGACGGUACCUAACAAGAAAG
rnacentral:rRNA from 1 species